rnacentral:rRNA from 1 species
UACGUAGGGUGCGAGCGUUAAUCGGAAUUACUGGGCGUAAAGCGUGCGCAGGCGGUUUUGUAAGCCAGAUGUGAAAUCCCCAGGCUCAACCUGGGAACUGCAUUUGAAACUCCCUUUCUUGAGUAUCGGAGAGGAAAGCGGAAUUCCUGGUGUAGAGGUGAAAUUCGUAGAUAUCAGGAGGAACACCAGUGGCGAAGGCGGCUUUCUGGACGGUUACUGACGCUGAGACGCGAAAGCGUGGGGAGCAAACAGG